UCAGACGAUGCGUCAUGCAUAUCAAUAAGCGGAGGAAAAGAAACUAACAAGGAUUCCCUUAGUAACGGCGAGUGUAGCGGGAAGAGCUCAAAUUUGAAAUUCUUCAAGGUUUUACCUUGACGAAUUGUAGUUUAAAGAAGUGUUUUCUGUUGAAGUUUUGGUAAAAGUUCUUUGGAAUAGGACAUCAUAGAGGGUGAGAAUCCCGUAUUUGACCUUUACUUUCAACUUUGUGAUACACUUUCAAAGAGUCGGAUUGUUUGGGAAUGCAGUCCAAAAUGGGUGGUAAAUUUCAUCUAAAGCUAAAUAUUGGCGAGAGACCGAUAGCGAACAAGUACCGUGAGGGAAAGAUGAAAAGAACUUUGAAAAGAGAGUUAAACAGUACGUGAAAUUGUCAAAAGGGAAGCGUUUGACACCAGUGUUGUUUUUCUGAAAAUCAAUUAAAGAACUGUUUAUGCUAAGCUGUUUAGACUUUAUCAGCUAUCUGUUUAGUUUUGAGCUUUUCUUUCUUUAAUGCACUUUUCAGUUAACAAGUCAACAUCAAUUUCUUUUUGCUGUAAAAAAGCUUGAGGAAGGUGGCUUGAGAUUCGUCUUAAGUGUUUAUAUAGCCUCUUGCCUAUGCAGUCGGAGAGAUUGAGGUCUGCAGCGUAGAUCCUUCGGGGCUAAAUGCAUUUGUGCUAAGUUAUAGCAUUUUAUAUAGACAACUUGUUGACUAUGAUUUGUCUUGUAGCUUACUCGCUUAUGUUAUUUUACCUACGCUUAGGAUGUUGAUCUACAGAGCGAGAGU
rnacentral:rRNA from 1 species